GCCAGAAGAGGUGCGUCGCCCAGGUAGUGUGUCCGAGGAGCCUAUCCAAUGAAGACACAGGAGGGGGAGCAACGCCGAGGAAAUUUGCGCGUCGGCCGCGAAAGUUUCCGACCGCAGGGGCUGAAUCCCCUGGGUUGUCACCCGGAGCGCCGCAGUGCAGCGUUUCGCAAGGUGGAGCGCUUCUGGGU
rnacentral:ncRNA from 1 species